GUGGGGAAUCUUGCGCAAUGGGCGAAAGCCUGACGCAGCGACGCCGCGUGGGUGACGAAGGCCCUCGGGUUGUAAAGCCCUGUGGGGAGGAACGAACCGCUUCAUGGAUAACACCCAUGGAGCCUGACGGUACCUCCUUAGCAAGCAUCGGCUAACUCUGUGCCAGCAGCCGCGGUAAGACAGAGGAUGCGAACGUUGCUCGGAUUUACUGGGCGUAAAGCGCGCGUAGGCGGCCUGGUAAGUCGGGUGUGAAAUCCCGGGGCUCAACCCCGGAAGUGCACCCGAUACUGCUUGGCUCUGGGUGCUGAAGAGGAGAGCGGAAUUCCCGGUGUAGAGGUGAAAUUCGUAGAUAUCGGGAGGAACAUCAGUGGCGAAGGCGGCUCUCUGGGCAGUUACCGACGCUGAGGCGCGAAAGCGUGGGGAGCAAACAGGAUUAGAAACCCUUGUAGUCC
rnacentral:rRNA from 1 species